CCACCACCAGCUGCCUUCGGAUCUCCUCUCCACUCACAACGUCUAACCCUUAUCUUCUUGCCCGUCUGCUUCCAGGACCAACCAACGCCGUUUGUGUGUGUGUGUGGUUAGCCCUGUAUCGACGACUAGCCAUGACCUCCCAGAUCCGUCAGAAUUAUUCCACCGAGGUGGAGGCUGCUGUCAACCGACUGGUCAACUUGCAUUUGAGGGCCUCCUACACCUACCUCUCUCUGGGCUACUAUUUCGAUCGAGAUGAUGUGGCCCUGGACGGCGUGGGCCACUUCUUCCGCGAGCUGGCGGAGGAGAAGCGUCCACCGCCUCCUGAACAUGCAGAACCAGUGCGGCAGCCGCGCUGUUCCAGGAUGUGCAGAAGCCUUCUGAAGAUGAGUGGGGUAAAACCGUGGAAGCCAUGGAAGCCGCCAUGAACCUGGAGAAGAACCUGAACCAAGCCAUUCUGUAUCUUCAUGCCUUGGGUUCUGCACGCACAGACCCCCAUCUCUGUGACUUCCUAGAGAACCACUUCCUGGAUGAAAAGGUGACGCUCAUCAAGAAGAUGUGUGACCACCUAACCAACCUCUGCAGGCUGGCUUCUCUUCGAACGUCUCACCCUCAGGCACGACUAGAGGACCCCAGAGUCCAGCAGCCUCUGGAGGCCAUCUGUGUAUCGCGUGACAUCAGGGUUUCCACCUGA